UUUUCGUUGCCAUUUCGUAAGCGGUACGCAGCUCUCGCGAAAACGAUAACGAAAAAUGUAGUUAGCUGAGACACGGUUCGACAAACGAUAAGUUUCAUAAUACUUCCGCGAGACAGCGCUGCUUUCUAUUCGCUGUCACCAAGGCAAACUUUUUCCUUGCGAAAUAAUGGUCAGCGGUAUUAUUUCGCACGGAGGCUCGCGAAAUUUUGACAGGUUGCAAUGAAAAAAUAUAAGAAAACACAAGAUUGGUAAUUUUUUGUAUUUUUUUCAUCGCAACCUGUCAAAAUUUCGUUGUUUAGAAAUUCAAUAUUUCGAAUUUGAAUGAUCGAACACCAACAACAUAAUAUGGUAAUCACCCAGCAAGAGAACGCAGUGAUAAUGGGCCAACAGAAACCACAACAUCAAGAUGCUCGGAAAGGACUUUCUCUUUCGAACAAACAAUGGCACGUCAUGUUCAAUCGGCUAACCGUUUGGAAUAAGCGCUUAUCAUCGGUUUCAUGGCAGGGAAGUGAGCAGGUAAAAGAAGGCAUCGUUUUUUCCGCAAGGUCGCUCUGGUCAAAAUUUCAGCGGAUUGCAAGGAAUAAACCACCCGAGGGACAGUACCCGUGCUGAUUCAGGACGAUUACCCAUACUUUGUACCUUGCUAUUGAAUUUUAAUACCCGAUCGAAACGAUGGCAAGCGCUGCCGAUAACUGGGUCAAAAAGACAACGGAUAAAGAAAUUUCUGCACUCGGUUAGCGAACUGAGUACAUAUCACCAAGGAUAAGGAUUCAGAGCCGGCGGCUGGCAAGAAAGAGAAUGCGGAAAAACCUAGUCCACCGGCAGUAGGACCAAAGCUGCACCUGAUGUUUGGAGUUCGGUAGCUUCGGAAAUUCUAACUCUAGCAGCUCCUGAAGAAAAACAAGCUGCAAGAGAAAAUGGAGAAACAGCUUCCUCCGCGGAAGAUGCAGAGGCAUUCAACCCGGCGGAUGCAAGUUUGCUAAUGAAAGAUGUUCACUAAGGUCUAGUAGAAUCAAAGCUGGAUCUGAAGGUGCAGCGAAAGGAUUCUUCUUCGCCGGUUGGUUGGUUUCGAAGUUUUGCACGUGAAGCCGGGAUUACUUCAGGGAGUCUAUGCGAUGGGUUUCAACGCCCUUCCAAGAUUCAGGAGAUGGCUCUGUUGGCCGGUCCGCCACGGAAUAUAAUCGCCCAGAGUCAGUCGGGAACAGGAAAAACCGCUGCCUUUGUGCUGGCAAUGCACAGUUGAGUCCAUCAGUUAAAAAACUAUCUGCAGGUGAUUUGCCUUUCCCCCACGUAUGAGCUGGCAAUUCAGAAGGGGGAAGUAGCUGCCAAAAUGGCAAAGUUUUGUCCUGAAAUCAAACUUCCUUACGCCGUUCGCGGUGAGGAGACCGUCAAAGGGGCGAAGCUGACUAAUCAUAUCAUCAUCGGAACACCCGGCAAGCUAAUGGACUGGGGUAUAAAGUUCAGGACGUACGACCUAGUUUUCCCUUUUUGUACUGGACGAGGCGGGUGUUAUGGUCGGUGUUCUUCUUGGCCACGUACGAGCGCGAGGUGAUAGUUUGCCGAGUACAUCCUACCCAAUCCGAUCGUCAUUUGGCAGGCGCGGGAGCAAGAAUCUCUCGAUAACAUCAAACAGUACUACGUCAAGUUCCGCAACCAGGACGAGAAAUUGUGUGAUUACCGUCGGACAAGCGAUCAUUUUCUGUCAUAUGAUGUAUAGGACAGUUGCAAACUCCAAGUAAACUUAUUUUCAGAACUGUUAAUCCAUCGAAACAGGUACGCAAAACGGCCGGUUGGUUGACCGGCAGGAUGUCCCAGGAUGGUCACUCGGUAGCGGUACUGUCCGGUGAUCUAACGGUGGAGCAACGGUUGGACGCCCUUGAUCGAUUCCGAACCGGACUAGAGAAGGUACAGAUUAUAACGAACGUUUUGUCCAGGGGUAAGUUCCACCACUUGAUUCUGGCUACAGCACCAGGUUACGGAGAGAUUCUUUCAUCUUAGGUAUCGACGUCGAACAGGUGACCAUUGUCGUCAACUUCGAUUUGCCGAUGGAUCAGCAGGGACGAGCCGAUUGCGAAACGUAUCUACAUCGAAUUAGACGCACCGGUAGAUUCGGUAAGUGUGACUCAUUCUUGUGAUCCUAUAGAUUGUAUUUCUUCCCACUUCUUUAACAGAACGGAAUCACCAUCAACCUAGUGGGCAGUGAUCGAUGCAUGAUGAUUUGCAGAUCAAUUGAAAAACACUUCCGGAAAAAGAUUCAGUUGCACCGUAAAGUGUUUUCGACCAGCUACUAGUGAAAGGCGUAGGAGCUUUUUUGGGUGUUUUGAUUCUGAAUUUAUAAUUUUAUUAUUUUUUUUUUUAAUUUUUUUUUUCUUCCUUGACCUGACAUAAGGUAUACAAAUGUAACUAACAGGGUAUCGUAAGCUAAUAAAUUUACAAUUACAAUUACAAUUUAGCUCUACCCAGUUCUAUCCAAACAUUUGAAAAGGGCCUAACUGCAAAAUGUAACAAAUGGAAAUUUCAUGUUUUCCAUUAACAAAUAUCUACCCGAGCACGUACAUAACGCAACAUUUGAUUAUGAAGAAUUUUGAUAGCGAUUUUUCAACAAUUUAUAAAAGGGCAUUUGUUAGAAAUAGGAUGUAAUUCAAGGAUUGUAUAGCGCAUGUUUAAUGGUUAUAACUUUCAGUUAAAUGGACUUUUAAGAACCCGACUUUGUUUUUUAUUUUAUUUUGUCGUUGAACGGCCAGUAGAGAAAGCGGUGGAAAAAUUAUCCGAAAGACUAACCUUGAAGCAGAAGAUAAAAAAUAUUUUGCUCAUUAUCCUGUGAAUCAAAAUUCCAAGAAGACAAAACAUAGCUAUAAAACACAAUAAGAUAUCUUAACUGAUAUAUGCUUUGAAGCGAUUCAAGGCGAAAGCGACUGGGUUUGAAUUUAGUAUAUUUUUACAUUUAUUUAUUCCUUCAUUAUUUACUUAUAUCAAGCAAACUUAUUGAAAAGGUCCUAUGUGCAAAUGAGAGCCUCUCUUUGUUUACUUUCUCUUCCGCUAAUAACUCGGUCGCAUUUGCGUUUGCUGCUUAACUCUUUGCAUAAUAUGCUAGUCAAAACCAUGCUCUUCCAAUAUGUAUUGGAUCAUUAUUGGAAAGAUUAAUGGUAAUGCCGUGAUAAUCGGAAGAGAAAGUAAACAAAGAGAGGCUCUCUUUUGCACAUAGGUCCAUUUCAAAAAGUACGCGAGAUAUGUUCAUUUAUUUCUGGGGAAAAUUUUCAUUAGGUCGUAUCGUAAGUAACAAUGUUAUUCUUUUUAUUUACUUUUUACUCUGUAAUAAACCAAGCCGCUUAAACAUU